GACCCUAGGUCUCUAAUAUGUAUGGUUAAUAAGUUAUAUCACUUUACACAAAAUUUAAGAUAUGAUAGGGGCGAAAACUCCCAUUCAUUGUUUACGCACCCUUUCAACUAAAAUUAUUUAGUUACCACAUGCCGCAACUAACAAUUUAUACAAAAUAAUUUGUUGAUAUCUUAUAAGGUUAAUGAAAAUGAGUGAAAAUAAGACAAAUUCAAAAAUUAGAAUAUGACCUUGACCUUUGACCUUGACCUAAUUUUCAUUUUUUUGGACCAAGGACCUCAAAUCAAAAGAUCCUAGGUCUCUAUCACUUAUGGUGUUCCAGUUUAAAAUACAUUUCAAAAUUUCAAAUACAAAAAGGGAAAUAACUCUCAUAUGGAGCGUUCAUAUUGCUUCGGUCGAAAUUGGACAAAUCAUGCGAAGGAUAUAACGAGCAAUUUUAUAAAAUAAAUUUGUCGUAAUCUUUUACGGUUGCGAAGGAGUUGUGAUCACAAGGAAAACAGUGUUUGGGGAGAUAACUCCUACAAAGAAAAGUAUUCGGUUACGCAGGGUAAAUUUCAAAAGCGCAUAAACUGUUCGAUAUCAUAUACCAAAUAUCUAAGCGACAUAUUGCGAAACAAAUGUUUAUCGCA
rnacentral:lncRNA from 1 species